rnacentral:tRNA from 1 species
AAAGGGAGACCUAAUUCAGGUAUGGGACGAAAAAAAAGUAGUCGCUACCAAGAAUCAAUCCCAAAAGGUCGGAGCGAGGCAAAAUUGGCUUUCAAACUAGGUUCUGGGUUCACACAAGACCUGAAUCAGGAACAAGGGCUAUUAGCUCAGGUGGUUAGAGCGCACCCCUGAUAAGGGUGAGGUCCCUGGUUCGAGUCCAGGAUGGCCCACCUGUACAGGUGGCAAAAAGAAAGAAAAGAAGCGAGGAAUCAGCACCUUAUCUUACUUAUAUAGUAAGAGAGAAUGCUGGCUCUGAGUACAGAGUCCAGAGGAACCUUGAAAACUGCAUAGAGCUAGGUGAAAAAGCCAAAAAAGAAGACCGCAAG